rnacentral:rRNA from 1 species
UAGGGAAUAUUGGACAAUGGGGGCAACCCUGAUCCAGCAAUGCCGCGUGAGUGAUGAAGGCCUUAGGGUUGUAAAGCUCUUUUACCCGAGAUGAUAAUGACAGUAUCGGGAGAAUAAGCUCCGGCUAACUCCGUGCCAGCAGCCGCGGUAAUACGGAGGGAGCUAGCGUUGUUCGGAAUUACUGGGCGUAAAGCGCACGUAGGCGGCGAUUUAAGUCAGAGGUGAAAGCCCGGGGCUCAACCCCGGAACUGCCUUUGAGACUGGAUUGCUUGAAUCCUGGAGAGGUGAGUGGAAUUCCGAGUGUAGAGGUGAAAUUCGUAGAUAUUCGGAAGAACACCAGUGGCGAAGGCGACUGACUGGACAAGUAUUGACGCUGAGGUGCGAAAGCGUGGGGAGCAAACA